rnacentral:rRNA from 1 species
GACGAACGUUGGCGGCGUGCUUAAUACAUGCAAGUCAACUGAAGCAGUGGUAGCAAUAUCGCUGUGGAGGUGGCGCACGGGUGAGUAACACGUAGGUAAUCUGCCUUCAGGUCUGGCAUAACUCCGGGAAACCGGGGCUAAUAGCAGAUGAUGCAGCGGCUCGACAUCGAGACAGUUGUUAAAGCUAUGGCGCCUGAAGAUGAGCCUGCGUCUGAUUAGCUAGUUGGCGGGGUAACGGCCCACCAAGGCAACGAUCAGUAGCUGGUCUGAGAGGAUGAUCAGCCACACUGGAACUGAGACACGGUCCAGACUCCUACGGGAGGCAGCAGUAAGGAAUAUUGCUCAAUGGGAGAAGUCCUGAAGCAGCAACGCCGCGUGAGGGACGAAGGGCUUUUGCUUGUAAACCUCUGUAGUGAGAGAAAAAAAUCCCAAUCUUUGGGACAUGAUGGUAUCUCAAAAGUAAGCCCCGGCUAACUACGUG